rnacentral:lncRNA from 1 species
AGCACUUCUCGAUGACUUGGUAGAAAUCAAACAAGCAUGUCUGUGCGCAUAGGUGAUCUUUCUUUUUAAAACUUUUCACUUAGUUUUUUUUCUGUUCACUUGGGGAAUGUGAUCCCAGGCAUUGACCGUGUUCAACUGUCAGCUGUUUGUAUUCCCAGUCCUUGUACAUGUAGCUUUCAUAGAGAAGCGACAGUCUUGCUUUGAUAGCUUUACCCUGAUGCCAUCUUAUCCAUACAGUUGUUUUUAUUUUUUUUAACGAACACUCCAAGCACCAAAACCACUACAGUGAGCUGUAGUGGUGCCUGUGGUGCCUUGGUUCACUCUCCUUGCAAGUAGUCAAAUUGUUUUUGAAAGGCUUGCCUUUUUAUCUGGGGUACCUCUCCCCGCCUCAAAUACUAAUGAUGGGGAGCCAGCAGUUCCUAAGCAGGAACUUGCGUUAGUUUUUUUACAGUUGCAUCCCCCUCCUGGUAAAAAGAACCAUGUUAGGCAUUGCCACCUACUAUACAUAAGAACCAUGUUAGGCAUUUCUACCUUCUUGAUACAUUCACAUCAUCCUGACUCUUGGAGAAUUCCGUGGCAUGUGAAGGCACAGCUGGUUUAAUUGCACACACUGUAUUGUUACUGUGGAAGGAAGUCUAGUGUAUCCUGCUACAGACCAUCCUAGCUGUGCGAUAAUGUGAAGACUGGCUUAGUUCCAGUGUAAGGUUUAUCCCUGCAGCAACCUCAAAAUAUGUUCCAUUUAUCUAACUAUGCUUUCACACGAAGCUCUAUUCUCCCAGAGACCGGUCUCUUUCUGUUAAGGUCCGUACUAUGCUCAGUGUUGUCAGUCCCCAUUAAUGCUGCACUCUAUACUGUGAAUGACCACUGCAGGCGAGAGCGGUUUAAUGUGUAGCUGAAAGAACUGAAUGAUGGCACACUGGAUAAAUGGCUGCAUUGAUCGAUACAAUGAAAGACAUGUCUUAGCCCCCCUACUUCAUGCUGGUUUUAGGCCAAAUACAUCUAUGGAAAUAAACCAUAGCAAAGACUAGGAAUCAUGAUUUGAUUAUUUUUAUUUCGAAUCAAAUCAAAAUCUCAUUAAUUGUCCGAUUAACCCCUUCCUUUCAAACCCUGGGUAUCCAAUAAAAGAACACUCUACAGCUCAUUGUAUUGAUUAUUUUGUUGUGAGUCUUUUGCAAUGACAGUCAUAAAGAUUGUUGAUACCUUCAGCACUUGCAACUAAGCAUUGUAAACAUAAUCCGAAUGUAAUUCUUACACAUACAUUGUAGAAACAGCGCAGGGCCUGGGCUUUAAGUGUCACGAAAACUCCCACUUUCUUUUUUCUCCCUCAAACCACUCCAGAAUGGUUUGAUACAGAAUUGGGGGCACUGUUUGUUUUGGUGCCUAGAGACCCCCUUUAGUCUUCUCCAGUCAGAGGGACAUCCUGUCUGUAACUGGCGUUGGGACUGUGAAAGCUCUUGCCCAUGCAAGUAACCUGUAUAAUAAUACACUUAAUACCCCAAUAUUUCUUAAAUACAUUUUGAAUGUGUUAGUGUAAAUUGAUGUAAUUAUAUAUAUUUUUGUCCCUGAACAUGAAGCUAUACAUUAAAUCGAUGUUUACAUGCAAGCUAUUAUUUAUAAAACUCAAGGCCGAACUCAUUUAUUUAAUACUCGUUAGGACAGCUAGACUUUUUCAGAACCCCAAAACUGAGUAGUCAUUGGACAUUCCCUUGUGGCGCAUGGGUAUAUCAGCUGUAACAGUUUGCCACAAAACCGUUCCCUGUUGUUAUCUUGAUAAGUAUGAUCUGGUGUAUCCUAUGUAUAUACACCACAGAGCACCACUAGAUUUUGUUUUUCUGUUCUUACAGUCUUACAAUAAAUGCAUUCUUGUGUAACCAAAAGAUGAUUUCUUUUUCUGUGUUGUUGAGUUGUGAUAUAUUAAAGGUCCUGGC